AUCCGGCUGAUGAGUCCUAAAUAAGACGAAACACGCCCUGGAU
rnacentral:hammerhead_ribozyme from 1 species